AGAAGAGAUUGUAGCUGAGGUACGAGAAAUGACUCAACGAUGGAGCGAAGAAAUAUUGGAAAAUUUAUUGUUACGAGAAUGUGAAUGGAGUAGUCAUUUAUCUCAAACUUUUAUUAUACCAAAGCCCAAAAAAUUAAUUAAGAAAAUGGAUUUUGAAAUGGCUGAUCCUAGUUUAGGUACCGAUGUGACGGGACUUGGAAGAACAAGACUUAGAGAGGAGGAUUUAUGAUGUUUAGAUCGUGUUGUUACACCAAGAUUAAUAUGUUUCAUUCAUUAAAAAGAGAAAUGUUUAAUAAAAAUUUUUAAGACA